AGCUGAUCUGAGUGGAGUGGUAUUUACAGCUAAUUGAGCACAACCAGUUACAGAUUACUUUGUUCCUUCUCCACUCCUCUGCUUCAUUUGACUAGCUUUUU
ensembl:misc_RNA Y_RNA Y RNA